rnacentral:lncRNA from 1 species
UGCCUCUGGUGUCUGAGUGGGUUUCACUGGUGUCUUUCAGGUUGGGAAAAAUAGCAGCCUAGCUUUGUCACAAUCCAGUCCUUCAAGCAUAUCCAGCCCAGGACACAGCCGACAGGUAAGUUAAUGGGGGUCACGAUGAUCCACAGAGUCCAUAACAGGGCAAAAAGAGUGGGCUGGGCAUUGGGGUCAGAGGUCAGACCCUAAUUCAAACCUCACCUCUAGUUAAGAGUGUGAUUACCUGGCUCCCAAACCUAGCUAGGCCUUCUCGUUAUUAACUUUACUCCUUGAACAAGUUACUUAACUUCUCUGUGCUUCCAUUUCCUCAUGUAUAAAGGGGAGCCCCUCAUGGCCACUAACGCCGUAAGGCUCUUGGGAGAAUUAAAUUAGUUUAUUCACAUAAAAUCUCUGGAAAAUGCCUGGCACGCAGCAAACACACAAGUGUUAGCUGUUAUUAUUAUUAUCAGAUGUGUGAUUGUAGGCAGAUUGCUUCUCUGGGUCUCGGUUUUUUCAUCAGUUAAGUGCCAAAAUUGGGCUGGCAGGGUAGCCUCGUGGUAGAACACUUGCCUGGUACACAUGAGGUCCUGAGUUCAAUCCUGAGUGCUGCAAAAAAAAAAGAAAAGGGCAAAAUUGAUGCUUACGUCCUCAUAGCAUUGUGAAAUUUAAAUAAGAUGAUGUUGAUUAAAGGGCUUACUCGUGACAUUUAUCAGUCUGUGCUUUCUCAAAGGCCUGAUGAACUGUACUUGUCUUUCAAGAUGUGGUUUCAUGCUAGGCAUAUUCAGGAUAGAUUUAGCAGUUUUUAUGAACUUGAGGUGUGAGAGUAGUCAACGUACAAGCUCAGGGAUAUGAUUUUUCUCAGUGGAGUGUGUGUGCGUGUGUGUGUGUGUGUGUGUGUGUGAAGAAAGCAAGGAGGGUCAGGGGUGGGGUUGUGCCUCAAUUACAUGUCUUGUUGUUUUGGACAUGCAGUCAUGUUUUAUAGACACUAAAGAGCAACAUGUUUGUGUUUUGCCCUUUGAGAUUUUCCCACAAAUCUUGGGUAGAGUGUAGGGAAAAAAGAUUACGGGGAAACUUUUUGUAUCCCUAGAUGCAAAGGGUCUCCCCACUAUUUUGAGUGGCUAUGGGCCUCUUUGCACUUGAGCCUCUGCAGCCUAUCAUCUGUGCUAGUCUGGGAGGGUGGCGCCUCUAUGCUUAGUCAGCUUCUGUGGUGGGGGGGGCCCUGGCAGAGGUUGCUGAGUGUGUCUAGAGAAUACAUUUUCACCCUCACCAAGCAUGUGUCCAUAGCUCCAGGUCCCUUGCUGGGAAAACGAAUGCUGGCAGUGAGACUUAAUAAAUAUGGAAUAAUACCAACAGCUACUACUUGGUGAGCACUGUCUCUGCAGCUGUGCUAAGCCCUUUACAUACUGUAUGUACAUACUUGUAACAACCCCAUGAGGGACAAGAGUAUACUCCUGUGAUAGAUGGAGAUGGCUGUCCUAAGAAGCUAAGUAACUUGAACCCAAAAUCUUGCUUCUCUAAAGCCUCUGUAUUUAACCCAAUGGUAUACUCCUUCCUUAGAUAAUUCACUGGGCCAUCUGUAGGUUAUGUAGGAAAAGGUGAACCAAUAGAGGGGGAAAAAAUGAAGACAUCACUUAUUCCAGUCCUCUCUCCAGGAGAGGAGUUCCAGGAAUGUCCACUGCAUUUGUCCCUGUGUUUUCCUCCAGUCCUAGGAUCAUGGUGACUACAUAACAUAUCUGGAGUCCUUUAUAGCCAUCACCUCAUUUGCUUAUUACAGCUGUCCUUUGCCAUGUACUGGAGGUAGGAUGUUAUCCUUUCUGUUAUGGUUGAGAAAACUGAGGCUCCAUCCUUGAAUUUUCAUGGGCUAUCCCAAAUGUAUGGUUUUGAAACAAGUUUUUCUUUUCUUUCCUAGAAGAACACAAACAGAAUGGGCAGGAUAAGGACUCUUCCAUAACAAGACUAUGAAGCCACUUCCAAAACAAUUCCUGGUUGUGAUCCCACCCCAGGAGGCCAUGGCAGGAGGAGGAGGGAGGGGAGUGGGCCCUUGGGGAGUGUCUCUUCCCUAUGCCCUGCCUGUGGCUCUGGCCUUUCUUCUUCUUUUUUUUUUUUUUAAUGAUCAAUUUUUUUUGUUGUUUUUGAAGAAACAGAAAAAGGCAAAAGAACGUGGAUUUGAAACUUUCAGAAAACAAUACCAGUGUUUUCUUUCCAUUUUUCAUUUGCCACAUUUAUACAUUCUUCCAAAUUUGGGGUCACUUCCCUCACUCCUGAUGCUGCUACCCCACCAUAAUUUUGCUUCUGCCCUGAGAGCAGACGUCGCAGAAUGUCAGUUCUGGGUUGGCGCCGUCUGAACCUCUUGAACUUUAGCACAUGCAGAGCUCUUCUUCCUUGUUCUCUCCCACCGCAUCCCUCCCAUCCCCAACCUGCCACUCACAGGGCAGGAGGGGCCCACUGGCCAUCAGAAGUGGCUGGAUCCCACCAGUACCCCCUGGACAGCAUGCUGGUGAAGGGGUUUUGUUAGGGAGGAUCCUGAGAGGAAAGAGCCAGAGGGUAUGUGAGUGCCCUCAACAGAUUUCUGCAGCCCAGCAGGCAAAAUUGAGAACAUUGGCUGCUUAAUGACCUGGUUUACCAAUACCAGUGUCUAGCUGUACAGCUCAGAAAAGACAUACAGGAGAAGCAGAGGGGACCUGGAAGAGUGGCAGAAAGCAGAACCUGGCCAGUAGGAGACAAUGUCCCUUAAAAAAUGGUGGGGACCAAGUAACUGUGACGGUCUGAGCUUGUUAGGAAUCAAUUCUGCAGAAUCCCUUCCAGGGCACGGUGUGCAGGUUCCCAAAGUUGAGUGAGUCAGAGAUGGAGGAAUCCCAGGGGAAAGGCCACUGAACCAAAAAAGUCACUCCAUCAGGAAGCAUGGUGAUCUUCAGCUAAAGGUUCUCAAGUUGCCCUCUGGGGACAGGAAAGAUCCUCAAGGGGAAAGCCUCCAUGGAGGAUCAUGUAUCAAAUCCCUUGUGAAAAUAAAUACUAGCAUUGCCCACUCAUGCCCAGAGGGGAGCUUGCAUUGCCCACCUACACCCAGAAGUGAGCAUGCAUUCUGUUCUCAGAUGCCCCAACUCAGACAGCCACCCCUGAGAAGGAAUGGUAAGGACGUGCCAUCGCUUAGUGAAGAGCCAUUUGGAAGAGCUGAAGAGAGACAUUGGAGCAUCGCAGCUAUGAAGUUUUUCACACUGGAGUUUUGAAAGAAACAGCAAUACCAUAAACUCUAAUAAGGAAUCAUCAUCAGGAAUGGAAUUCCUAAUGUGAAAUAGGUGUUCUGUGCUAUUAAUUAAUCUUAUAAGUUUGCAUACAACAGAGAUGCUAGGAGGUUCUCUUUCAUCCUGAAAUCAGAAAUGCUAGUCUCGCGGCUGGGUGCAACCCCCAAUCCCAAGGUUUUCCUUUAUUUUCCCAUCCCCCAACCCAAAGAUCAGACUACUGUUAAGUUUCACCACACGAUUGGAAUCUGCAAAGGUGGGAGGCCAACGGAGUGAUCUGCAUUGAUGGAAUUGCACUGACAGUAUUUCUUAUAGGAUUACUAAAUUUUUUAAUAUAAAAAAAGAUUUUUUUAAAAAUCAGGAGUUGAUAUUAAGUACCAGGACAUUAGUUCAGAUGAUUUCAUUUUUAUUUCAACAGUGUUAAAAGUGCACUUAUAUGCUGGUUUAUUUGAGUCUUGGAAAAAAGAGACUGCAAAUUGAAGGGACGAUUGUUAACUUUUUCUUUAAAAAAAAAAAAAAGGUUAAGGCAGAUUUUAAGACUUAUAAAUGUUUAAGAAAUUAUAAACAAGGUUAGACCCUUUGAAAAAAAAGUUUAGAAGCUAUUCUUAAAGUAAAUUUUUAUAGUGUUAAUUUUGUAAUAAUUUAUGUUUUACUAUAUUACAGAGCUAACUGACCAGAAUAGUUUCAGAAACAAUAUGAAACUUAGGAAAGUUUAAGCAAUGUUUAUAUUUUUAAAAUGUUCUUUGAAUUAUGUUUUUAUUGUAUGUUUCUUCAGACCGAAAAGUAUGUACAUAUCUUUGUUAUUUUUGCACAAUUUUUGUCUUGUUCGGUUUUAGAAGUCUGAUGUUUUUUAUAAUUUAUUUUGAGUUUUAAAACUUGCAGGAGUAGAAACAAAACCAAUCUCAGCAACAAAAUAACCCUCUGAUUUAUAAACUUUUACACUCGAAGAGGGAAAACAAAGGUUGAGAGAUGAAGUGGCUGCUUCUGAGAAAUAGUGUCUCAACAGGGACUGAUGGAGCGGGUUCAACAUUUUAGCUCCCUGCGUCUUGAAAUGGAAGCUGGAAUAAAGAGGUUCCUCACCAAAUGCUGCUUACUUUCUUGAAAAACUGGCUCUGACCAAGGUGAGGACAUUUAUGGAUAACUGAGCAAAAAGGGAAAACCCACGGUAUUUCUUCUUUCGCAAUCAACCACAGGUUUACUUUGUAAUGAUGUAUUAAAACUUGCAGCUUGAAAAGUGGAAUGCAAAUAAAGGUUUUCUUUGGGUUUAUUUUCAUGGAGUUCAACUGGACCAGCCUAUAAAGCAUCUUUAGGGUGGUAUCCUUUGGGUCCUUCUGUUCUGCACACCCCCAAACAGCCUUCUCUCCCAGCCCCUUGACUGCACACACCCCUAUUUGCCUGAAGAUCUCCUGACUUGUCGCCAGCCAUAGAGGCUCGAAAGCUCUGGUUAAACAUAACGCAAUGCAUAGACCUGUCAGCCAU